rnacentral:rRNA from 1 species
CCUACGGGUGGCAGCAGUGAGGAAUAUUGGUCAAUGGACGCAAGUCUGAACCAGCCAUGCCGCGUGCAGGAAGACGGCUCUAUGAGUUGUAAACUGCUUUUGUACGAGGGUAAACGCAGAUACGCGUAUCUGUCUGAAAGUAUCGUACGAAUAAGGAUCGGCUAACUCCGUGCCAGCAGCCGCGGUAAUACGGAGGAUUCAAGCGUUAUCCGGAUUUAUUGGGUUUAAAGGGUGCGUAGGCGGUCGGAUAAGUUAGAGGUGAAAUCCCGAGGCGCAACUUCGGAAUUGCCUCUGAUACUGUUCGGCUAGAGAGUAGUUGCGGUAGGCGGAAUGUAUGGUGUAGCGGGGAAAUGCUUAGAGAUCAUACAGAACACCGAUUGCGAAGGCAGCUUACCAAGCUACGUCUGACGUUGAGGCACGAAAGCGUGGGGAUCAAACAGGAUUAGAUACCCCUGUAGUC